rnacentral:lncRNA from 1 species
CCGGGAGCAGAUCUCCUCCAUCGGGAGGCUCCGGAGGCUGCAGGACAUCCACAGCCUCUACCUGCAGCAGAACCAAAUUGAGAAGAUGGAGAAUUUGGAGUCUUUUCCCAACCUGAGGUUCCUCUGCCUGGCUGGGAAUCGCAUCCAGAGGGUGGAAAACCUGCGGGGCCUGCCCCACCUGAGCGCCCUGGACCUGUCCCACAACCUGAUCCAGGUGCUGGACACAGGUGGGAACGCAGGAACCCGUCCAGGGCCGUGUGGAAUUCCCACUCCCACCCUCCCUGCCUCAGUUUCCCUGGCUGUGGCUUUGGGGGUUGCCUCAGGAGUGAGGGAAGAGCUCGGGGGGGGGUUUGGGGGAGCAGGAAUUUUGGCUCCCAGCCCCUCUGUGCUUUCCCGUUAUCCUGGCAGAGGAGCUGCCCCGCAGCCUCCGGAUCCUGGACCUGACAGGGAACCGGUGCACCCGGCAGGACGGAUACAGGUGGGUCAGGAGAGGCAGAACAGCCCCCCAGGAACUGGGAGAAGCCUCGGGGUGACCUCCCUGUGGCCCUUUGGUACCUCCAAGAAAGCUGGGAAAGGGAUUUUGGACAAAGGAUGGAGUGACAGGACAAGGGGGGGACGGAUUCACAUUGCCAGAGGGGAUUUUGGGAAGGAAUUCCUGGCUGGGAGGAGGGGGAGGGGAUGGAAUGGAAUUCCCAGGGAAGUUGUGGCUGCCCCUGGAUCCCUGGAAGUGUCCCGGGACAGUUUGGAGCACGCUGGGAUAGUGGAAUGUGUCCCUGGAUGGGAUUUAAGGUCCCUUCCCACCCAAACCAUUCCAUGAAAUCUCAAACACAGCCUGUCCCACCAAACUUCAGGGAUGUGAAUCCCUGCUCUCCACACCACAAGGAUUUGAAUCCCUGCUCAAACCCCAAGGAUUUGAAUCCUUGCUCUGCAAACUUCAGGGAUGUGAAUCCCUGCUCUCUACACCACAAGGAUUUGAAUCCCUGCUCUCCAAAUCCCAGGGAUUCGAAUCCCUGCUCUCCACAUCCUAGGGAUGUGAAUCCCUGCUCUGCAAACUUCAGGGAUGUGAAUCCCUGCUCUCCACACCACAGGGAUUUGAAUCCCUGCUCUCCAAACCCCAGAGAUUCGAAUCCCUGCUGUCCUCCCUCAGGCUCUGCUGGGCUGAGGGAGGAUGGGACACCCACUCCCAAUCCCACAGCUGCAGAAAAUUUGGCUUUUCCUUCAUUUUUUCCCACAGGGAUCUGGUGCUGGCAGCCCUGCCCCAGCUCCUGCAGCUGGAUUCCCAGCCCGUCCAUGGACACACGGCCGAGGAGGAGGCGGGAGGAGGCUCCUGCAGCAGCAGCGAGGAGGAGGAGGAGGAGGAGCUGCUCCCUGAGCUGAGGAUUCCCUUCACGGUGGACAGAGGUGCCGGGAUGGGCACGGGGCACGCAGGGGCUCAGGGCUGGCAGUGCCACACCCUCUGGAACGCUGUCCCUCCGUGCCUCCCGGCAGAUUUCCUGGUGGAUCUGCGGCGGGAGCUGGCGGGGCGGGCGCGCUGGAGGCGGAGGAGGAGCCUGCAGGAGCACCGGGCCCGGCUGCAGGAGCUGUGCGAGCGCCGGGCUCUGCUGCUGGGCCCGGGGCAGGACGGAGCCGCCGGCACCGCCGCAGCCCGGCCGUGUCCCCAGCCCUGUCCCCAGGGGAGCCCCGGGCCACCGCUGUCCCCUCUGCCGGCAUCCAGCGGGUCCCAGCCAGCUCCCGCUGCCAUCCAGCCCCCAGGCGAGGCUCGGGACAAGGAGACUGGUGCCAAAGGAGCAGGGAAUGGGCAGCUAUCCCAAAUUCCCUGCAGCAGCAGCCGGCAAUAAAGGCUUCAUUCCCACCCCA